CAUUUUCAUCAUUAGUCUUUAUAAUAACACAGGAAAUUAGCAGAGGAUGGUUUCGAUCCAUCGACCUCUGGGUUAUGGGCCCAGCACGCUUCCGCUGCGCCACUCUGCU